rnacentral:rRNA from 1 species
CCUACGGGAGACAGCAGUGGGGAAUAUUGGACAAUGGGGGGAACCCUGAUCCAGCGACGCCGCGUGAGUGAAGAAGUAUUUCGGUAUGUAAAGCUCUAUCAGCAGGGAAGAAAAUGACGGUACCUGACUAAGAAGCCCCGGCUAACUACGUGCCAGCAGCCGCGGUAAUACGUAGGGGGCAAGCGUUAUCCGGAUUUACUGGGUGUAAAGGGAGCGUAGACGGUGCAGCAAGUCUGAUGUGAAAGGUCGGGGCCCAACCCCCGGACUGCAUUGGAAACUGUUGAACUGGAGUGCAGGAGAGGUAAGUGGAAUUCCUAGUGUAGCGGUGAAAUGCGUAGAUAUUAGGAGGAACACCAGUGGCGAAGGCGGCUUACUGGACUGUAACUGACGUUGAGGCUCGAAAGCGUGGGGAGCAAACAGGAUUAGAUACCCGAGUAGUC